rnacentral:rRNA from 1 species
AGCGUACGCUGGCGGCAGGCCUAACACAUGCAAGUCGAGCGCCGUAGCAAUACGGAGCGGCAGACGGGAGAGUAACACGUGGGAACGUGCCCUUCAGUUCGGAACAACCCAGGGAAACUUGGGCUAAUACCGGAUACGCCCUUACGGGGAAAGAUUUAUCGCUGAAGGAUCGGCCCGCGUCUGAUUAGCUUGUUGGUGAGGUAACGGCUCACCAAGGCUACGAUCAGUAGCUGGUCUGAGAGGAUGAUCAGCCUCACUGGGACUGAGACACGGCCCAGACUCCUACGGGAGGCAGCAGUGGGGAAUAUUGGACAAUGGGCGCAAGCCUGAUCCAGCCAUGCCGCGUGAGUGAUGAAGGCCUUAGGGUUGUAAAGCUCUUUCGACGGGGAAGAUAAUGACGGUACCCGCAGAAGAAGCCCCGGCUAACUUCGUGCCAGCAGCCGCCGUAACAC